AUUGAACGCUAGCGGGAUGCUUUACACAUGCAAGUCGAACGAGUGGCGUACGUGUGAGUAAUAUAUCGGAACGUGCCCAGGAGCGGGGGAUAACUACUCGAAAAUGUUGCUAAUACCGCAUACGAUCGGAUCGGCCGAUAUCGGAUUAGCUAGUGGGUGGGGUAAAGGCGCACCAAGGCAACGAUCCGUAGCUGGUUUGAGAGGAGGACCAGCCACACUGGGACUGAGACACGGCCCAGACUCCUACGGGAGGCAGCAGUGGGGAAUAUUGGACAAUGGGGGAAACCCUGAUCCAGCCAUCCCGCGUGUAUGAGAAGGCCUUCGGGUUGUAAAGUACUUUAGGCAGAGAAGCGGUAUCUGCAGAAUAAGCACCGGCUAACUACGUGCCAGCAGCCGCGGUAAUAC
rnacentral:rRNA from 1 species